AUCACUUCUUGGCCUUUUGGCUAAGAUCAAGUGUAGUAUCUAUUCUUAAUCAGUAAAAUUUCUGGUCACUUUCUUUUUUUUUUUUUUUUUUUUUUGUUUUUUGGGACAGGGUCUCACUGUGUAGUUGAGACUGACCUGGAACUCACUAUGUAGCCCAGGCUGGUCUUGAACUCAC
rnacentral:snRNA from 1 species